GAUUACCUCAGUAACGGCGAGUGAAGCGGUAAAAGCUCAAAUUUGAAAUCUGGCUCUUUUAGAGUCCGAAUUGUAAUUUGUAGAAGAUGCUUCGGGUGUGGUUCCGGUCUAAGUUCCUUGGAACAGGACGUCAUAGAGGGUGAGAAUCCCGUAUGUGACUGGAUACCUAUGCUCAUGUGAAGCUCUUUCGACGAGUCGAGUUGUUUGGGAAUGCAGCUCAAAAUGGGAGGUAUAUUUCUUCUAAAGCUAAAUAUUGGCCAGAGACCGAUAGCGCACAAGUAGAGUGAUCGAAAGAUGAAAAGCACUUUGGAAAGAGAGUUAAACAGUACGUGAAAUUGUUGAAAGGGAAGCGCUUGCAAUCAGACUUGCACUUGGUGUUCAUCAGGGUCUCGUACCCUGUGUACUUCAUCAAGUUCAGGCCAGCAUCAGUUUGAGUGGUUAGAUAAAGGCUUAGAGAAUGUGGCCCUCUUCGGGGGGUGUUAUAGCUCUAGGUGCAAUGUAGCCUACUUGGACUGAGGACCGCGCUUCGGCUAGGAUGCUGGCGUAAUGGUUGUAAGCGACCCGCGNAAAAAAA
rnacentral:rRNA from 1 species